GGCUUCCUGAUGCUUACCAGAGGUUGUGUUGUUACAAUGACUGUACAGAAAGGAGGUAGAGAAAGCCCACCCCAUGUACACCUCAACCCAGGCCCUGUGCCUGGUGUGCAUUGUGAAUGGGGAAACAUGG
rnacentral:snoRNA from 1 species